UACGGGGGGGGCAAGCGUUGUUCGGAAUUACUGGGCGUAAAGGGCUCGUAGGCGGCCAACUAAGUCAUACGUGAAAUCCCUCGGCUUAACCGGGGAACUGCGUCUGAUACUGGAUGGCUUGAGUUCGGGAGAGGGAUGCGGAAUUCCAGGUGUAGCGGUGAAAUGCGUAGAUAUCUGGAGGAACACCUGAGGUGAAGACGGGUUGCUGGGCCGACACUGACGCUGAUAGCGCGAAAGCCAGGGGAGCAAACGGG
rnacentral:rRNA from 1 species